UGGAACUUUUGGGGAAGCUGGGGAAAUGAACAAAGGCAAUGCAAAUCAGAACAAACAGACGCUAUUUAUUUGAAACUUGCUAGAGAAAGGAAGUUGGCUAUCAUCAUCUUCAUUUGAUACAGACUCAGAGGAAGGGAGUGGGAAAGCUUUAGAGUGAACAGUUAAAAACCUCCAGAGUUGAACAGAAACAUGGCUUAUAGUUUCCUCAAAUCAUUCCUGAGCUCCAGACAAACUGCUGGACCUUGGAACCAACAAGAAGCACUGUGUAAUGAUCACCUUCCAAGUACCACAAGAUAAAGGCAAGAGAAAACUCUACCACAAGAACCUGAAGUAUAUACUGGGAUGCCUUCCAGAAAAUCUUGCAGGCAUAAAGCAACCAACCUGAAUGAAAACAGAUUUGGGCUGUAAUAAGAAGACGGAACUUAACCAGCAAAUGCUAAAGUGUCUUCCUGAAACAGAACAAAAGUUUUAUGCAUAAAUGUUACU